GGCGGCAGGCUUAAAACAUGCAAGUCGAGCGGAGAUGAGGUGCUUGCACCUUAUCUUAGCGGCGGACGGGUGAGUAAUGCUUAGGAAUCUGCCUAUUAGUGGGGGACAACAUUCCGAAAGGAAUGCUAAUACCGCAUACGUCCUACGGGAGAAAGCAGGGGAUCUUCGGACCUUGCGCUAAUAGAUGAGCCUAAGUCGGAUUAGCUAGUUGGUGGGGUAAAGGCCUACCAAGGCGACGAUCUGUAGCGGGUCUGAGAGGAUGAUCCGCCACACUGGGACUGAGACACGGCCCAGACUCCUACGGGAGGCAGCAGUGGGGAAUAUUGGACAAUGGGGGGAACCCUGAUCCAGCCAUGCCGCGUGUGUGAAGAAGGCCUUAUGGUUGUAAAGCACUUUAAGCGAGGAGGAGGCUACUGAGACUAAUACUCUUGGAUAGUGGACGUUACUCGCAGAAUAAGCACCGGCUAACUCUGUGCCAGCAGCCGCGGUAAUACAGAGGGUGCGAGCGUUAAUCGGAUUUACUGGGCGUAAAGCGUGCGUAGGCGGCUUUUUAAGUCGGAUGUGAAAUCCCCGAGCUUAACUUGGGAAUUGCAUUCGAUACUGGGAAGCUAGAGUAUGGGAGAGGAUGGUAGAAUUCCAGGUGUAGCGGUGAAAUGCGUAGAGAUCUGGAGGAAUACCGAUGGCGAAGGCAGCCAUCUGGCCUAAUACUGACGCUGAGGUACGAAAGCAUGGGGGAGCAAACAGGAUUAGAUACCCUGGUAGUCCAUGCCGUAAACGAUGUCUACUAGCCGUUGGGGCCUUUGAGGCUUUAGUGGCGCAGC
rnacentral:rRNA from 1 species